GGAUAGCUCAGUCUGUAGAGCAUAAGACUCUUAAUCUCAGAAUUGUGGGUUCAAGCCCCAUGUUGAGCA